rnacentral:rRNA from 1 species
ACUACGGGAGGCAGCAGUGGGGAAUAUUGCGCAAUGGGCGAAAGCCUGACGCAGCGACGCCGCGUGAGGGAUGAAGGUCUUAGGAUCGUAAAACUCUGUCAGCAGGGAAGAACGGUCACUGUGCUAAACAGCAGUGAAUGGACGGUACCAGCAAAGGAAGCACAGGCUAACGCCGUGCCAGCAGCCGCGGUAAUACGGAGGGUGCGAGCGUUCAUCGGAAUUAAUGGGCGUAAAGCGCUCGGAUGCGGUAUGUCACGUCAAGGGUGAAAGCCCCGCCCUCAACGUGGGAACUGCCUUUGAAACUGGCAAACUGGCGUGUGUGAGAGGUUAGUGGAAUUCCAGGUGU